AUUGAACGCUGGCGGAAUGCUUUACACAUGCAAGUCGAACGGUAGAGGGGGCAACCCCUCGAGAGUGGCGAACGGGUGAGUAAUAUAUCGGAACGUGCCCAGUCGUGGGGGAUAACGUAGCGCAAGUUACGCUAAUACCGCAUACGAUCUAAGGAUGAAAGCGGGGGAUCGCAAGACCUCGCGCGAUUGGAGCGGCCGAUAUCAGAUUAGGUAGUUGGUGAGGUAAAGGCCCACCAAGCCAACGAUCUGUAGCUGGUCUGAGAGGACGACCAGCCACACUGGAACUGAGACACGGUCCAGACUCCUACGGGAGGCAGCAGUGGGGAAUUUUGGACAAUGGGCGAAAGCCUGAUCCAGCCAUUCCGCGUGCAGGAUGAAGGCCCUCGGGUUGUAAACUGCUUUUGUACAGAACGAAAAGGUUUCUACUAAUACUAGGAGCUCAUGACGGUACUGUAAGAAUAAGCACCGGCUAACUACGUGCCAGCCGCCGCAGUAA
rnacentral:rRNA from 1 species